rnacentral:rRNA from 1 species
GACGAACGCUGGCGGCGUGCUUAACACAUGCAAGUCGAACGGUAAGGCCCUUCGGGGUACACGAGUGGCGAACGGGUGAGUAACACGUGGGUGAUCUACCCUGCACUUCGGGAUAAGCCUGGGAAACUGGGUCUAAUACCGGAUAGGACCACUGCCUGCAUGGGUGGUGGUGGAAAGCUUUUGCGGUGUGGGAUGGGCCCGCGGCCUAUCAGCUUGUUGGUGGGGUGAUGGCCUACCAAGGCGACGACGGGUAGCCGGCCCGAGAGGGUGACCGGCCACACUGGGACUGAGAUACGGCCCAGACUCCUACGGGAGGCAGCAGUGGGGAAUAUUGCACAAUGGGCGCAAGCCUGAUGCAGCGACGCCGCGUGAGGGAUGACGGCCUUCGGGUUGUAAACCUCUUUCAGCACCGACGAAGCGCAAGUGACGGUAGGUGCAGAAGAAGGACCGGCCAACUACGUGCCAGCAGCCGCCGUAA